UGUUGAGAAAAAACUGUGGAUCCUGGAAUUUUGCUGUGGAUUUUACUGGUUUUCUGAAGUACUGUAAGUUGAAGUCUUGUCCCGCAGGCCCUCGCGAGCACCAGUAGCUCCUCGCCAGAACAACACCCUCGCCCUGGUGAAUACAGCUGAUCCUGCUGCUCCCACUGAAGCAGCAGUUGCCUGAUUGUGUCCAUGGAGUCAGUGCAGGAGGAGCUGAUGUGCCUGCGUUCAGAGGUAAUGCCUUGGAGAGGUUGAGAUGAGAUCGAAUCAUCCUGUUCAGCUGCCCAUUUCUGAUUGAAAGUUGAGAUUCCGUAGCACAAACUGAGUUUGAAGCGUGAGAUGGGAUGAUCCAAACGCAGAACUUUCUAUUGCUUAAGAUAAUAACACUGUCAUGUCAUAAACACACAUAUUUUCUCAGAUAUUUCACUGCUAUCCCAAAUUUCCACUUGCCCAAUACUCAGUGUGAAUAAUUUUUCCCUCUGUGCUAGAGGCUGGCGGAGGUGUACUGAGCCCUUGCUUUGGAAAGUCCUUGCUGAAGUCAGCUGUUGCCCUCUUUGUUGAACUAGGCAAAAGUUUGGUUUAUAUAUAUAUAAAAACAUUAAUUAAAACAUGAACCUCAAACACCAUCAAAAUGGAUUCUAGAGCUAAGUGUGUUUGCUGUUGCUUUUUUCUUUUGGAGUCACUUGAAGAGAUGAAAGAAAUAAGACUGCACAGGUACAGUCAAGUAAAACACUGUUACAGAAAUAAUUAAUGGUAAAAUUAUGUGGAGGGUGGUUUUGAUUUAGCUCGUACGGGUUUAACACUGGAUACGUGUUGGCUUUGCAGUAAGGAGCAGUUGCUCAUUAGGGAGUUGGCCCUGGUGGUGUCAAUGUUGAGGACACUGAAGGGGUGAAAAUACUGCUUUUUCUGUUGGCAAAUAUUUGAUUUAAAAUUUGCAAUCGUCUGGCACGGGUCACAAGAGCUUUUGAAAUUCCUGUUUUUGAGUUUGCUGAGGAGGCAGGGACUCGGAGGAGGCCGGGCUGGAACCCGGCGGCUCCUCGGGCACAAGGGGAUGGCACAAGAAUUCGAACCAACAGCGUCAUUUCUGACAUUGUUCACUGAUGCUGCUUUUUAAGAAAAUGAAUUGAAGGAAGUUGUCACAUAACUGGGACAAAAAAAAAAAAAAAGGUUGAAAGGAAACACAAAAAAUGUCAGUCUGUCUGCACUGCUCCUGUGCAGCCCUCGCAGGCCGGUGUGUGAGUGCUGCUGGCAGCUGCAGGGCUGCAGCCUCUGUCUGCCCUACACUGGUACUUUCUGCUCUGGUGCAGGGCAGGGAAGGUAGUGAAGUUCCAGAGAUCUUUAAUUUCUGGUCACAUAAGCUUUGUCCAUUCAAAUAGAAAAAUAAACAUAAUCUAGUCUUUUUAAAAAUAAAGGGAUUUUUUUAGAUUUCUCACAAGUCAGACUGAGCUGAAUAAAAGUAUUUUAAGGAAAACUUAACAGGUUUGAACUGUUGGAAUCUGGAUUUAUUUGUCUGAAAUAUUAACGUUGAGACAUCUGGAAAAGCCUUGGUGUUCAGCAGCCCCUAGGAGGAAAGUUCAAGGUUACAUUUCCCCACAGACCAUUUGGAAGGGCUGGGAAGGUCUGCAGGCUCUCUGCAGUAGAAAAACCAGGAGAGAUCUGCAGGAUCUGGAAGUGUAUAUUUGUUGGGACUGAGAUACUACAUGUUCUUUGGGUCUGAGUGGAAUAGUUAAUUUUAUUUCCGAUUUUGUUUCUGAAACUGGUUUGUUUGCACUGUGUAACUGCUUGUUCUCUUAUAGUUACAGACUGUCUGGUAGCACCCCUGAAGAAAAAAACCCUGUCCUGUGGUGGUAAUGCAUGCAUGUUAAACGACUUCAUUGUAGAGUGUUCUUCAGUUCCUUUUAUCAUGGUUUAAAAAAAAAUUAUAUAUAUAUAUAUAUUUUCAAAAUACCAUUUGGAAUGUCAACAUUCAGUGGGCUUUGAGGAGAUGUAGCAGCACAUCAUGGUUUGUAGGGACAAGGAGAUACAGACCAUUCUGGGCUGCCUCAUUACCUCAAGGAUAAGACAAGAAAGUGAGCUUCUGGUUAUCAUAGAUGUGGAAGCUAAAACAUUCCCAUGUAUCCCUUUAGUUCAGUUGGACAGAUGUGUGUAGACACGUUCUCUUGGUGCUGGUGUCUGUGCACAUCCUUUGCAGCUGCAGAUACAUUCCCUCUGAGUCUGUGUGUGUGUCUCAGCAGGGCUGCAGGAAGGACUCAUAGCUCCUUUUUGUUCUCCAGCAUGGGCAUGACCUGUGUUGGCUUGAGCUUCAUAUGUACUAUAUACCCCUCACCUAUGGCUCUUUCAUCCUUUUGCUGGCAAAGGAUUGGCCAAGGUACCCUUGCCCUGUGUUUGGGGCAGAAAAGGGGGGUCUGGAGGCCGUGGAGAGCUGUCAGCAGUGCUCUAGCAGCACGUAAAUACUGGAGUUUGGGAUUGCCUGUUGCUCUCCAGUAUUGCAUUGCUGCUUUAGUGAGGCUGGAAAUUGGUCCCUGCUGCAGGAGCCGGGGCUCUGGCCCUGGGAGUACCUCCUUGGCACCCCCACGGUGCCCCCACACUGCUGGGGGGCUCUUGUCUCCCACUCCAAUAAACCACUGCGGAGGCAGCAACCAACGAGGGCUUGGUGUCGUUAAUGGGGGGGGGCUGCACCCCAACACUGCUGGGGGUACUCAGUGCCCGUGCCCAGGGUGGAUGGAGCAGAGGGCACUGCCACAGACAUGGA